rnacentral:rRNA from 1 species
UACGUAGGGUGCGAGCGUUGUCCGGAAUUACUGGGCGUAAAGGGCUCGUAGGCGGUCUGUUGCGUCGGGAGUGAAAACUCAGGGCUUAACCCUGAGCCUGCUUCCGAUACGGGCAGACUAGAGGUAUGCAGGGGAGAACGGAAUUCCUGGUGUAGCGGUGAAAUGCGCAGAUAUCAGGAGGAACACCGGUGGCGAAGGCGGUUCUCUGGGCAUUACCUGACGCUGAGGAGCGAAAGUGUGGGGAGCGAACAGG